UUAAAAACGAUGAAGAGAAGAGUAGCUAUAGGUACGAUUUAAAGCGAGUCGAUGAUGGUGGAAGAUCGAUAUGAGGCCUAUAGGGAAGAACAUCUCGGAGUUUCUAACCGAAAUUCUUAAGAAAAGUAGGCUUAGACGGAGCCAAACCGUUACAGAUUGGAGAGUAUUAUUUAGUACUUGUUAGAGCUGGUCAUAUUCAAUAUGACAAAUAGGGUGGUACCGCGAAAUAUAACCUUUCGUCCUUUAA
rnacentral:ncRNA from 1 species